UGCCAGCCGCCGCGGUAAUACGGAGGGUGCAAGCGUUAAUCGGAAUUACUGGGCGUAAAGCGCGCGUAGGCGGUUAGUUAAGCUGGAUGUGAAAGCCCUGGGCUCAACCUGGGAACUGCAUUCAGAACUGGCUGGCUAGAGUACGAGAGAGGGUAGUGGAAUUUCCUGUGUAGCGGUGAAAUGCGUAGAUAUAGGAAGGAACAUCAGUGGCGAAGGCGACUGCCUGGCUCGAUACUGACGCUGAGGUGCGAAAGCGUGGGGAGCAAACAGGAUUAGAUA
rnacentral:rRNA from 1 species